UACAGAGGUCUCGAGCGUUAGGCGGGAUCACUGGGCUUAAGGCGUGUGUAGGUGGCUCAUUAAGUACCUUGUGAAAUCCCACGGCUUAACCGUGGAACUGCUUGGUAUACUGGCGGUCUUGAGCCAGCUAGGGGCUACCGGAACAAAUGGUGGAGCGGUGAAAUGCGUAGAUAUCAUUUGGAACGCCAAUGGUGAAAACAGGUAGCUGGGGCUGUGCUGACGCUGAGACACGAAAGCCAGGGGAGCAAACGGG
rnacentral:rRNA from 1 species